rnacentral:rRNA from 1 species
UACGUAGGGGGCAAGCGUUGUCCGGAUUUAUUGGGCGUAAAGAGCGUGUAGGCGGCCAGGUAGGUCCGUUGUGAAAACUCGAGGCUCAACCUCGAGACGUCGGCGGAAACCCUCUGGCUAGAGUCCGGAAGAGGAGAGUGGAAUUCCUGGUGUAGCGGUGAAAUGCGCAGAUAUCAGGAAGAACACCCGUGGCGAAGGCAGCUCGCUGGGACGGUACUGACGCUGAGGCGCGAAAGCGUGGGGAGCAAACAGG